UCCGAGUUGACCCCGGCAGUCUCCCAUGAGUCCCCGGCAUAACCCGCUGGCAACAUGGGACAAGGGUUGCGCUCGUUGCGGGACUUAACCCAACAUCUCACGACACGAGCUGACGACAGCCAUGCACCACCUGUCACCCGCCCCGAAGGACACCAUGUCUCCACAGCUUUUCGGGUGAUGUCAAACCCAGGUAAGGUGGGGAUGACGUAGCUAAGCCUUC
rnacentral:misc_RNA from 1 species